UACGUAGGGUGCAAGCGUUAAUCGGAAUUACUGGGCGUAAAGCGUGCGCAGGCGGUUGUGCAAGACAGAUGUGAAAUCCCCGGGCUUAACCUGGGAACUGCAUUUGUGACUGCACGGCUAGAGUGUGUCAGAGGGGGGUAGAAUUCCACGUGUAGCAGUGAAAUGCGUAGAGAUGUGGAGGAAUACCGAUGGCGAAGGCAGCCCCCUGGGAUAACACUGACGCUCAUGCACGAAAGCGUGGGAGCAAACAGG
rnacentral:rRNA from 1 species